GUCUAUGGCCAUGCCACCUUGAACAAGCCCGAUGUCUGAUCUCGGAAGCUAAGUAGGGUCAGGCCUGGUUAGUACUUGGAUGGGAGAUCACCUAGGAAUACCAGGUGCUAUAGGUG
rnacentral:rRNA from 1 species